CCUACGGGAGGCUGCAGUGGGGAAUAUUGCACAAUGGGGGAAACCCUGAUGCAGCGACGCCGCGUGAGUGAAGAAGUUUUUCGGUAUGUAAAGCUCUGUCAGCAGGGAAGAAAGUUACAUUACCUAACUAGCACUCCACGGCUAACUCCUGGCCAGCAGCCGCGGUAAUACGGAGGGGGCACGCGUUAGCCGGAUUGACUGGGGGGAAAGUGAGCGUAGACGGCGAUGCAAGUCGGAAGUGAAAGGCGGGGGCCCAACCCCAGGACUGCUUUGGAAACUGUAUGGCUGGAGUGCAGGAGAGGUAAGUGGAAUUCCUAGUGUAGCGGUGAAAUGCGUAGAUAUUAGGAGGAACACCAGUGGCGAAGGCGGCUUACUGGACUGUAACUGACGUUGAGGCGCGAAAGCGUGGGGAGCAAACAGGAUUAGAUACCCGGGUAGUC
rnacentral:rRNA from 1 species